GGAUGAAGAACGCAGUGAAAUGCGAUAAGUAAUGUGAAUUGCAGAAUUCAGUGAAUCAUCGAAUCUUUGAACGCACCUUGCGCUCCUUGGUAUUCCGAGGAGCAUGCCUGUUUGAGUGUCAUGAAAUUCUCAACCUUUCUGGCUUUUGCUAGUCAGGCUUGGAUUAUGGGAGCUGCUGGCUUUUGAAGUCGGCUCUUCUAAAAUGUAUUAGCAAGAUCAUUGCUGCUCAUCAUUGGUAUGAUAAUUAUCUAUAUCAUUGAGAGUCAGUUUCCUUUAUUGGAAGAUUUUGCUCCUAACGGUCUUUAGCAAGACAACAUUUGACGAUUUUGACCUCAAAUCAGGUAGGACUACCCGCUGAACUUAAGCAUAUCAAUAAGCGGAGGA
rnacentral:misc_RNA from 1 species